ACGGGUACGUGACUCCAGGACUUUCUUUUGUCUUAUUGCUGAUGCUACAACUGAAUAUCAUGCUAUGAAGGCUGUUGUCAUGACUACAGCUAUUGUUGGUGGCAGGGUAGAUCCUCUGCCUGCUGUAGAACAUCAGAGUGAAAUGGGGAUCCCAUUGUCCCUACAUUUUAUUUCUGUGGAGUGUGAAAAGAAGUCCCAAAGCAGCCCCAGAAAGUAGCCAGCGAGAAGAGGAUCAUCUUUUCUCCAUUCGCCAAAGCCUCUUUAGAGUUUGUACUGGCAAAAAUCACUCUUCUCAAGGAUUAAAACAAAUAAUAACAACAACAGCAACAACAACAAAAAGACUUUAUUCUCUUUGUAUGAAGAUGGCUACACUGUCAGACCAAAGUCUGUUCCUCAAGAUCACGCCUGCCAAAGUGGGCUGACUGCGUGGAAUCUGAACUCUCUCCCUUGUCAAAGGCAUUCAGUGAAGUGGCCAAUUGUACCCUGUGGAGAUGGGCCCUGAGUUCAAAUCCUGCUCUGCCACUUCCUUGUUUAUGAACUCAAGUGAGUUAUUUAAUUCCCAUGCCUCAGUUUUCUCAUUUGGAAAAUCAGGAUAUAAUAGAAGCCACCUUAAAACAGGUAUCUUGUGAGGAAAUUAAUACAUGGAAGAAUGCUGGCAUGUUCAAAUUGCCAUGAGUGUUUGCUGUUAUUAUAAACUAUGCUUAUGCAUGCCAUUAAAAAGGAUCUAAGUUUAUACUCCAACUUCUUUUAUUUUUUUUAAUAAAAUGCAAUUUAAGGAGUCUA